UCACUUUGUUGGCAAUGCUUAGAAGUCUGUCAGAGUACUCUUUUACGAUUUUGACUCUCCAUUCUUUGCAGUUCAAACUCCCUGAUUAGAUUCAGCACUUGCAUUCCACAAAUCCUCUCAUCACUUUCAUAUUCUGCCUUGAGGUAAUCCCAAAUUUCUUUUGCUGACUUCAAGGACAUUAUCCUUGUGAAUACCAUAGGAGAUACAGCUGCAAAUAGACAUGCUUUUGCCUUUGAUCUUUUCAUCUUCUUUUCCUUCUGUGAUUUUAUUUGUGCCACAGUAGGGUUUUCU
rnacentral:lncRNA from 1 species